AUGUGUACACAUUUAUCUGUCUAUCCCUCUCUGUCUAUACAUUUAUCUGUCUAUCCCUCUGUGUCUAUACAUUUCUCUAUCUAUCCCUCUAUGUGUACACAUUUAUCUGUCUAUCCCUCUGUGUCUAUACAUUUAUCUGUCUAUCCCUCUGUGUGUACACAUUUAUCUGUCUAUCCCUCUCUGUCUAUACAUUUAUCUGUCUAUCCCUCUGUGUCUAUACAUUUAUCUACAUUUAUCUGUCUAUCCCUCUGUCGAUACAUUUAUCUGUCUAUCCUCUAUGUGUACACAUUUAUCUGUCUAUCCCUCUAUGUGUACACAUUUAUCUGUCUAUCCCUCUCUGUCUAUACAUUUAUCUGUCUAUCCCUCUGUGUCUAUACAUUUAUCUGUCUAUCCCUCUCUGUCUAUACAUUUAUCUGUCUAUCCCUCUGUGUCUAUACAUUUAUCUGUCUAUCCCUCUCUGUCCAUACAAUUAUCUGUCUAUCCCUCUCUGUCCAUACAAUUAUCUGUCUAUCCCUCUCUAUACAUUUAUCUGUCUAUCCCUCUGUGUCUAUACAUUUAUCUGUCUAUCCCUCUAUGUGUACAC
rnacentral:lncRNA from 1 species